CGUUCUCCAGCCCCAAUGACUUAAUCGGCUGACAUGAAGUAGAUAAGAUUGUAUUUGUACUGCAACUGGGCAUGGUUGAAGUUUAAUUGUGUUGGUAAACAGAGCCCAGUGGCUGCUUUGGAAUUUCUGCAGAUGCCACAGAAUUAUUCCUCUGCAGUUUGGGACGUGCCUCUUACAUCUUUCACUGAAAUGAAAAUUGCUUCCUGACAGAGCAGAGGCCUCAGUGCUGGAACUAGAGGUGUGGUAGCCCUCUAAGAUUCCAAAGGAUCUUUCGCUUAACACGGAAGAGGAAACCAGGGCAAAUUUCUGGCAAAAUCAAAUGCCAUCUCCUCACUGCAAAAUGCUCGUGUGUUUCAGGAGAGACAAUAAUUGCUAAAUAUCUAGAAAUCUCCUUGCUGGGUUCUCAGGGGCCCCAAGGAUCAAUAAGCCAGGCUGCUGCUGAGAGAAGUCACCGGGUCACUGAGAAAGAGAUCACCUUUGGCUCCUGGUGUUCACCGACGCUGGCGGAAGCAGCAUUUCUCUUGGAUCCAGCAGAUUCACUGGGAACUGGACUAAAAACAUUUUCCUUCACUGUGGGAAAAUCCUGAACAAUGUUUCAGACUUUCAGGAAGACAAAAGAGAUUGGCAUUGUAGCCAGAAUGGAAGUGCUGGCCGUGACACCAUCUCUGCCCCCAGGGGAGUAAGCUUCUGUUCAUUUUACUGCGGCCAUGUGAAUGUACGGCCACCAUAUUUUACCCGUAAGAUGAAGAACAGCUCUGAUGUUCUGAUGUUCAAAGCAUCAAAGGCUGAUCCCCUCAGCUGAGCGGUGACACACAGUUGCUUGGCAGCCAGGCCUCCGGAGUUCCCACCCACCCCGAUUCCAAAGCCAAGACCCCCCGACUCCACCCCAAGUCAUUAGCCGCCAAGAUGCCCUGCGUUCGGCGAGGGCUCCCUGGGCCACGUUUGUCCCUCCACCUCUCCUGUCCACAGUGUCGCCCUCUGACCCCAAACUCUAACAGGG
ensembl:lncRNA